rnacentral:rRNA from 1 species
UGUCUGGUGGGUAGUUUGACUGGGGCGGUCUCCUCCCAAAGAGUAACGGAGGAGCACGAAGGUUAGCUAAUCCUGGUCGGACAUCAGGAGGUUAGUGCAAUGGCAUAAGCUAGCUUGACUGCGAGAGUGACGGCUCGAGCAGGUGCGAAAGCAGGUCAUAGUGAUCCGGUGGUUCUGAAUGGAAGGGCCAUCGCUCAACGGAUAAAAGGUACUCCGGGGAUAACAGGCUGAUACCGCCCAAGAGUUCAUAUCGACGGCGGUGUUUGGCACCUCGAUGUCGGCUCAUCACAUCCUGGGGCUGAAGUAGGUCCCAAGGGUAUGGCUGUUCGCCAUUUAAAGUGGUACGCGAGCUGGGUUUAGAACGUCGUGAGACAGUUCGGUCCCUAUCUGCCGUGGGCGCUGGAGAAUUGAGGGGGGCUGCUCCUAGUACGAGAGGACCGGAGUGGACGCAUCACUGGUGUUCGGGUUGUCAUGCCAAUGGCACUGCCCGGUAGCUAAAUGCGGAAAAGAUAAGUGCUGAAAGCAUCUAAGCACGAAACUUGCCCCGAGAUGAGUUCUCCCUGACCCUUUAAGGG